GAUACGUAAGCCGUAACCCGUAACACACGCGGCACUUCAAUCAAUACCUAGAUUUUCCCAUCGCCGCAUGCAGCUGGAUUAUCUCUCACGAUACGGUAUAGGUGUAUCAACGUUGAAUGCACGCGCCUCAUCCGAUCAAUGCGCGAACUCUUUCUUCCUUUUUUUUUUUUAUCCUCUUUUUUUCUUCACCUUCACAUCUUCCCCGUACGCCGUACCAAGGUUGAAUAUAACAUGAUAUACAAUUGUGAGAACCAAUUUCGUCUCACGGGAUCAUCGUCGUCGUCGUCGUCUUAGUCGUGAUCGGUGUGGGUAUAAUAUCAAUCACCUCGUCAACAUCGCAUGCGAUCCUACCGUACGUAUCUAGGUAAAAUACGGUAUAAGUAUUGUAAUACACAUAUGCGUGUGUGUGUGAAAAGAAGUUUACUAAUCGCUGUAGAUUGUGACUCAUUAUCGUCAUCAUCGUCAUUAUUUUUUACCACUAUUAUCGAGAUUAUUGUUCAUUGUAAUUCAACAGAUUGAGAAAACAAUUAUGUUGUUCCCGAUCGGUGAAGAGCGGUGCGCUAAUACUCGUUAUGUGCGGCUACCGGUUAUUUAGAAAUCAUCCGGAUUUUCAUCUCGAUUGGAUUGAAGAGUUCCUUGACAACAUCCUGAUGCAAUUCACGUGGGCGUGUGUCUCUGAAUCACGGUGAGACGGGAAACUUCUGAUGGCGAUGAAAGGCGGGAUGCCACCAUUUUGGGCCAUGCGGACAAGGAUAUAAUCCGCAAAAUAGCAUCCCUCUGCCUCCUGUGAGGUUUGAACUCACGACCCCUGGUUUACGAGACCAGUGCUCUACCACUGAGCUAAAGAGGCUCGCAAUUCAGCACCCUUAAAUAAAAUUACCAUACCUCCAGGGUAGAGCGCGAAAAUUAAUGAGCGCUAUUAAAAAUUACAGAAUUGACGAUGUUACCGAUUUGUCAUUCCUUUUUUACCCUCUGGUUGUUCCACAACAUUCACACUCACGAUAAGUCUGUCAUGUACAGAUGACAAAUUCUUACUACACCUAUUUCGAGAUUUCUUCGUUAUUCCGCUGAAAAGAAAUUAGGACAAUUAAUCGUUAAGUUCUAUGAGCGUUGUACAUUUUUUAUUCCUACAAUGGAAAUAAUUUGUUCUCUAGUUAUUUCGAUAUAAUUAUAUGUCUCCAUAGGUGUAAUUACAUGAAACCUAUUCCGAGAAAUUAAUCGACACAUGCACCAUACAUGUGCUCUAUAUUUAACUAUGAAGAUACAGCAGAACGAGCAAUUAUCAACGAGAAUAGCAGAUGCCCUCGUAUCAUCUAAACAAACUUAGUUAUAAUUACCUUGAUAAUUACUUUAACAGAAGGACGCUGCUAUGCAACCGCAAAUACAAGGUUUCAAAUAUAAAAAGUAAGGUCGACUGUUGAUUAUUCCUUCGAAUUUUUGUAACACGAACACCCGUGAACUUGCGUUAAACUGCGAUAAUUUAUUCACUCUUCUUUACAAUCCUCAUUCGGCACGCACGUGUCUCUUACGAUUGUGGGUCAUGAUUAAAUUCGAUACGGAACUAAUUAUGUUAAUAUCGGAUAAAUUUUGAACGGCGAUUAUUUUCGUUCGGAUGUUAUCGACUCUUUGAGACUUCUUCAAUCUCCCAGAGCAACGAAAACGACGAACAUCCUUCGAAUGAUUCGAUUGUUCGAAGUUUGGAGAUUAACGGGGUUCGAAAGUUGAUCACCCCUCCCAAUUAGCUGCGUGAAAACUGACAUUUCUUCUACUCGAAUCGAAGAAUUUCCCAAGCGAGAAGGAGAAAUGACUCGACGAAACAGAACGAGAUCUGAGAAAUCUUUUGCAUAAAUCGUAAAACGACUCGCGCAUCGCUUCAUGAAAUUAUUCACGAACAUCUCACGCACGUGCAUCACCGUACAGCGGUAAUAAGGUAUUACUUAUAAUAACACGGUGCCGGUGGUUAUCGCGAGGAUCGAUGGUUAAAAAAUUGGCGUGGCAGAAAAAUAUGGGGCUCUUCAUUCAGAGAAUCACCCGAGGCCUUGAAAGUUCAAAAAUUGUCGGAGCGAAGGGCGAGCGGGGGAUUUUGCGGCAGUAAAAUUGGCGAAAAGAGAGAAUAAUUGGAGGCGAGGUAUAGUAUAUGAGGCGUCAGUAUCAGCAGCAUCGGCAUUAAAAUCAGCAUCCCAACAUCGGUAUAUACAUGUAUAGGGGCUCGGCAAAAGCGUCUUCCGUUCCCGAGUUAUUCUCCUUUGGGUUCCGCGAAUCAUGGCCAUUAUUUCUUUGCCCCUCGUGAGAUUUCAAUUACCAGAGAGAAACUGGAAGCAACUUGCCGCUGCUGUUGCUGCUGCUGUUACAGACGGGCGUUGAAGCGGCCAAACAAGUUGGAAUUUCUGGAACGUAACGUACCGAGAAUUUGGAAGUUAAAAUCUCAUUUCGAGACUUAAGUCGUAACGUCAUUAGCUACCGCUCAUUUUCCGUCUCUUUCUCUCUAUUUCUUUUCUGUUUCUAUUCAAAUUCAUUUCCUACCAACUUUUUUCUUACGUUUCGAUUCCUCUCUUGUUUUAUUUUUUCAUUAUUCUCUUCGAUUCUUUCGUUUUUUUUUUCUUUUUGCUCACAGCUCCAUACUUAAUCCUUCUUCGAGCUCAUUCGACACGAUUUCAAACUCGUCACGUACUAAAUCAUACGCGGUACGUCGAUUCAUCAUUCUCUGUAACACCCGGUAUAACGAAACGUCUCGUUGAUUAGGAGAAGAAUAAUAUCAGGUAUACCGCAGUUGCACAAUCAUGGUAUUAAAACCAUGGCGCAUCUAUUGGACACGAUUGAAGAAAUGGAAAAAGAUAUGAAAGGGUUCAAACGAUGGAUACGUAUCGAACUUGUACGCUCAACCGAAGGAUAAAAUCGAGUAAACGGUAAUCACCGAAUAUCCUUCUCGCAAUAUUACAUAAAAUAAGACGGUCGAAAACGUCGCGAAUUACUUACAAAUAUUCACAAGUAUAUGAUAUAUCAAUUUUCCCAUGUAUCUAGGUUAUCAACCGCAUACUCAAUUGAAUGAUAUACGACGAGAAUCCUCGAUUUUUGCAUUCGUCUAUAACCAGUUUGGAGCAUGCGUGUAUGAUAAAGUAUUUGAAAAUAAUUAUUCGUACAGCUAUCAUCGAUACGUUCUAAAAAUCAACGAUCGGAAUUUCUCGUUCAAUAUUUACCCAAACGUGUUAUUUUCAGAACUAUUCUCGGCAUUCAGUUUUUAAAUUAUCGUUUUAUCGCAGCUGCUAUAUAAUGGAGUGUUAUAUUUGCGAGUUUGCAAUUUAAAAAACAUGACUAUCCAGCAUUGAAGAAAAAACUGAUAAUUAUCUCGAAUUCUAAGAAACGAUAUCUUCGUCAUUAUUCCUCACCUCAGAUAAUAGUCGCAAUCAAUCGUAAAAGCUUCAUGUUGGCAAUGACCUUACUCAAAUAUAUUAUCGGUACAAGGUCAAAAACGAGUUGGUGUGAUUUUGUGGGUGUUUUUUUUUCACAACCAGGUUGAUAUACGGCUGAUAAUGUUGAUGUAAGUAGAGAGAGAAAAAAGCCCACUUUAACCCAGAUAAAAUACAUUUACGUCACGGUUAAUCAAAAUUUUGGCUUUACGCAGUACGAUAACUAAUAAUUAGACUUUGUCAUUAAGGAACAUACAUUUUUUUUCCAGAUACAAAUUUUUUAUUCCAACGAAAUCCUCAAUUAAGAUAUUUAUCCAUGCGUGAUUUGGGAGGGAACACCGCGUAACCCCAUGUGGUGUAUACCUCGGGGCUAAAGAACUGAAACUGAAAAACCGAGUAUUUACCUAUACGUUCUCAAAUACUAUAUUCAAGGAAUAGCCGUGUAACCGUGAAAUUGAUAGCUCGUGGAAAUUGAACAAGGUGACCGCGAUGCCCGACGGGUUUUUUAGAACGGAUGUGUAUUGAAGAGAGACAGGACCGGAGACACCUGCAUAUAAUUAUAAUAUCGAACCUUUUGUUCAGCGUAACGAGACCGUCUAACAAAUGACAAAACAUCUUUGGAAAAUUUGUACGUUCCAUCUGGGACGCAGAAAUGAUGAACUCGUUCGUACAGAAUAUGGAAUUGAAAUUCGAGUUGUAUAAUGUUCUUGUUUGUUCUAUAAUAGCAAAGUUUUUUUUUUGCGUACAAUCUGGGUAAGUUGUUGACUACAAUAAUUCAUAUUCGGUAGACCGUGAGGUAGGUUGAAUGAAUAUAUUCAAAAAUAAAGAAAAAUCUAUUUUCGCGAUCCAGUGUAACGCCAAUCUGACAUUUCAAGCUAUUAACUAGACUACCAAAUUGACCCAGAUUUCAAGAAUUAGGCACUCUAUUUUCAAAUUUCCGCUUAAGUGACGCACUCGCGAUGCUGUACAGACGAAUACCUCAGCUGCACAGACGUUUUUAAAUACAUAGUAUAUAACACCAGCGAUUAUUUAGCCGCUGAUGAUGCCGCGCCGCUUGAUCUUUGGCAAGCUUAAAAGUUAGACGCAAGCACUGCCGCGGAUCCAACAGCAAACCGUACCGAACCCGGCUGCUAUACUUUGAUCAAUCAUCUCCGCAUCUUUGCAUAUACAUAUUAUCAUUCGUUCGCACCACGAUUCUGUCAUAUCAAUAAUAACUGGCGGUGGAUUAAACCGCGCGAAAUAAACACGACUAUAUUAAGUCGUGGACAGUAUCGGCGCAGUGACCGUGUAAAUUCUGCAACUAAAUGUGUUAAAUCUUCGCGUAUCUGUGAUACCCUAUAAGUACAUAGGCUAGCUAAAUAGAUUUCCUUGGAAGUGUUUGCUAGACAACUAUACAUGAUACUAAUAUGAUCCCGGAGAUUUCUUGGAAUCAUAUUGGUUAAAUUAGUUGAGGAGGAAUAUAGAAGAAACGAAAAAAAAAAAAAGAAAAAAAAGAAUUAGAAAUGCCGGGUAUAUAAAUUAUGCCGACUCCCGACUACGUGUCUGCAGAUAUAAUGUU